rnacentral:rRNA from 1 species
UACGAGGGGUGCAAGCGUUGCUCGGAAUUAUUGGGCGUAAAGGGUAGGUAGGUGGUCUCAUUUGUCUGGGGUGAAAGCCUUGAGCUUAACUCAAGAAGUGCCCCGGAAACGGUGAGACUGGAGUCCUGGAGAGGGUCGUGGAAUUCCCGGUGUAGCGGUGAAAUGCGCAGAUAUCGGGAGGAACACCGGUGGCGAAGGCGGUUCUCUGGGCCUGUACUGACGCUGAGGAGCGAAAGCGUGGGGAGCGGACAGG